UACGAAGGGUGCAAGCGUUACUCGGAAUUACUGGGCGUAAAGCGUGCGUAGGUGGUUUGUUAAGUCUGAUGUGAAAGCCCUGGGCUCAACCUGGGAAUUGCACUCGAAACUGGGAGGCUAGAGUAUCGGAGAGGUUGGUGGAAUUCUCGGUGUAGAGGUGAAAUUCGUAGAUAUCGAGAGGAACACCGGUGGCGAAGGCGGCCAACUGGACGAAUACUGACGCUGAGACUCGAAAGCGUGGGGAGCAAACAGG
rnacentral:rRNA from 1 species